UCCGGAGGGAGCUAGCGUUGUUCGGAAUUACUGGGCGUAAAGCGCGCGUAGGCGGCUUUGUAAGUUAGAGGUGAAAGCCCGGAGCUCAACUCCGGAACUGCCUUUAAAACUGCAUCGCUUGAAUCCAGGAGAGGUGAGUGGAAUUCCGAGUGUAGAGGUGAAAUUCGUAGAUAUUCGGAAGAACACCAGUGGCGAAGGCGGCUCACUGGACUGGUAUUGACGCUGAGGUGCGAAAGCGUGGGGAGCAAACAGG
rnacentral:rRNA from 1 species